rnacentral:rRNA from 1 species
CCUGGUCGUCCACGCUGUAAACGAUGUCGAUUUGGAGGUUGUGCCCUUGAGGCGUGGCUUCCGGAGCUAACGCGUUAAAUCGACCGCUGGGGAGUACGGCCGCAAGGUUAAAACUCAAAUGAAUUGACGGGGGCCCGCACAAGCGGUGGAGCAUGUGGUUUAAUUCGAUGCAACGCGAAGAACCUUACCUACUCUUGACAUCCAGAGAACUUAGCAGAGAUGCUUUGGUGCCUUCGGGAACUCUGAGACAGGUGCUGCAUGGCUGUCGUCAGCUCGUGUUGUGAAAUGUUGGGUUAAGUCCCGCAACGAGCGCAACCCUUAUCCUUUGUUGCCAGCGGUUCGGCCGGGAACUCAAAGGAGACUGCCAGUGAUAAACUGGAGGAAGGUGGGGAUGACGUCAAGUCAUCAUGGCCCUUACGAGUAGGGCUACACACGUGCUACAAUGGCGUAUACAAAGAGAAGCGACCUCGCGAGAGCAAGCGGACCUCAUAAAGUACGUCGUAGUCCGGAUUGGAGUCUGCAACUCGACUCCAUGAAGUCGGAAUCGCUAGUAAUCGUAGAUCAGAAUGCUACGGUGAAUACGUUCCCGGGCCUUGUACACACCGCCCGUCACACCAUGGGAGUGGGUUGCAAAAGAAGUAGGUAGCUUAACCUUCGGGAGGGCGCUUACCACUUUGUGAUUCAUGACUGGGGUGAAGUCGUAACAAGGUAACCA